rnacentral:rRNA from 1 species
AAUAUGGGACAAUGGGCGAAAGCCUGAUCCAGCAACGCCGCGUGAGGGAUGACUGCCNNNGGGUUNUCAACCUCUUUCAGUAGNGACNAAGCGCAAGUGACGGUACCUACAGAAGAAGCACCGGCCAACUACGUGCCAGCAGCCGCGGUAAUACGUAGGGUGCGAGCGUUGUCCGGAAUUAUUGGGCGUAAAGGGCUCGUAGGCGGUUUGUCGCGUCGGGAGUGAAAACUCAGGGCUUAACCCUGAGCCUGCUUCCGAUACGGGCAGACUAGAGGUAUGCAGGGGAGAACGGAAUUCCUGGUGUAGCGGUGAAAUGCGCAGAUAUCAGGAGGAACACCGGUGGCGAAGGCGGUUCUCUGGGCAUUACCUGACGCUGAGGAGCGAAAGUGUGGGGAGCGAAC